rnacentral:rRNA from 1 species
GAACGGUGAAGCAGAGCUUGCUCUGUGGAUCAGUGGCGAACGGGUGAGUAACACGUGAGCAACCUGCCCUGGACUCUGGGAUAAGCGCUGGAAACGGCGUCUAAUACUGGAUAUGAGAUGCGAUCGCAUGGUCGUGUUUGGAAAGAUUUUUCGGUCUGGGAUGGGCUCGCGGCCUAUCAGCUUGUUGGUGAGGUAAUGGCUCACCAAGGCGUCGACGGGUAGCCGGCCUGAGAGGGUGACCGGCCACACUGGGACUGAGACACGGCCCAGACUCCUACGGGAGGCAGCAGUGGGGAAUAUUGCACAAUGGGCGCAAGCCUGAUGCAGCAACGCCGCGUGAGGGAUGACGGCCUUCGGGUUGUAAACCUCUUUUGGUAGGGAAGAAGCCUUCGGGUGACGGUACCUGCAGAAAAAGCGCCGGCUAACUACGUGCCAGCAGCCGCGGUAAUACGUAGGGCGCAAGCGUUAUCCGGAAUUAUUGGGCGUAAAGAGCUCGUAGGCGGUCUGUCGCGUCUGCUGUGAAAUCCCGAGGCUCAACCUCGGGCUUGCAGUGGGUACGGGCAGACUAGAGUGCGGUAGGGGAGAUUGGAAUUCCUGGUGUAGCGGUGGAAUGCGCAGAUAUCAGGAGGAACACCGAUGGCGAAGGCAGAUCUCUGGGCCGU